UAACUGGAUGCUUCACAUAAACGACAGGAUAAAUGAAGGGCAAGAGGGACGCCUACCUGACUUUCACAGCGAGUCCAAUCUAUCCAUGAUGGUUUGGGGAAGAACCUGCAGAAAGCAAGGGCAGGAAAUUACCCAGAUUCUAAAAUCAAAACAGAGUGAACCAGCAUGUUCAAAGGAACUGAAUUACUGAGAGCCAGGACACAUAGACGGGUUUCUCUACAAGCGGCUUUGCAGCAGAGUCUCCAAGGGCUCAUCCACACAUCCUGGCUGCGAGUAACCAUUGGGAAAUGAUAUGGUGACUUCAGGGCCACAGAGGGGAGAAUCAGAAGAUGACAGGAACUCACCUGGGAAUGGAGAAGUGAUGUAUGGCUGCCAGUAUCAAACUCACUGUAUAAACACAGACACUCACACAUAUGAGAACUGAAUAUUGGCGAAGUCCGUUUCUCCCCGGGCCACUCCAUCUUGGAAACCAAAGAAGAAACACUUUACGAUAGUGGCCUCCACAGACUGCGUCUAACUCCCAGUUCUGUCAACCACAGUUCCUCCCACCCAAAUUGACAGUUCCUUGUGGGUGUCUUAGAGGAACACUUAGGACGGCCUCCUCGUUCACUGGGUGAAAGAUUUUCCAGAACGCUCUUGCGUCCACGGCUGUGAGGGUUGCUGGUAGCAGCUGCUUUUCUGAAGCCACUAUACCCUCCGCAUUCCCCUGCCGUUGCCUCCACUGUGAGAUUCCAGCCAGAGUGACCUUGUGCUCUGGUUCCCUGCAAUGGCUGAUGUUCUGGGGUCACUCCCCGUGCUGAAAUCCAAGGUGAUUUCUCCAUGUCUCUGAGUAAUUCAGAUCAUUUUAUGAUAUAUUACCAAGUGAGUUUGUUAUUGCAGUGCAGAGGAGGAGAGAUGGGAAGCACUUUCAGAGUUCC
rnacentral:lncRNA from 13 species